UUCAAUUAUUUUGAGUGUAUACCUAGAAAUGAGAUUGCUGGAUCAUAUGGUAGUUGCAUUUUAAGUGUUUUUAUGAACUUCUGGGUUUUUUUUUUUUUUUUUUUUUGUCUUUUUGCCUUUUCUAGGGCUGCUCUUGCAGCAUUUGGAGGUUCCCAGGCUAGGGGUCGAAUCGGAGCUGUAGCCACUGGCCUACACCACAGCCACAGCAACGCGGGAAGCGAGCUGCAUCUGCAACCUACACCACAGCUCAUGGGAGGAUCCUUAACCCAGGGAGCAAGGGCAGGGAUCGAACCCGCAACCUCAUGGUUCCUAGUCGAGUACAUUAACCACGUCACCACGACGGAACUCCUGAACUUGUGUUUUUUAUAGUGGCUGUACCAUUUAACUUCCUACUAACAUUGCACAGGAUUCUUUUCUCCAUAUAUUCGCCAACACUUGUUACCAGUCUUUUUGUUAACAAUCUUCCCAGCAGGUAUAAGAUGAUAUGUCAUCGUGGGCUUGAUUUUCACUUUCCUAAUGAGUAGUGACUUUGAACUUCUUUUCAUACACCUGUUGGCCAUUUGUUUAUCACCUAUGAAGAAAUGUCUAAUCAGUUCCUUUGCCUAUUUUAUUUUUUCUUUAUAAACUCACAUUUUAUUCCAAAUCUUUCAGGUUUAUGUAUUUAUAUAACAAAAUUAAGCAGGAGCAUUUUAUUGAAUAUAGAUGCUUUUCCAGAUAAUUAAACAGGCUCCUAGAAUUUGCACUCUGAAAGGACUCCCCAGACUGACUUUUCUCAUUUGUACAGGUUGGUGGUGAGAGAUUUACACCCCCCCCAACUAAUUGAAGUAGUUAAAAAAAUUAAAGCAGAGAAAGGAGUAACCUUAGCAUGUACUGAUCCUAUGGCACCAAUUGUAUAAAACUGCAAUAGCUCUUUGUUGAGUAUUUGUCAUCCAAAUGAAACCUUUACAUUUUCAACAAUGUGGAGUUGGAUCAUGGCGGUAUAAAAAGCUGCCUCUCCUCUAGUGCACAUACUGCAAAAUAACAGGACAUGUUCUUAUUCAUCAAUCUUCUAAAAUAAUCUCAUUUUGUGUUGUAUGAGAUUGUAGCUAACAUAAAAAAAUGCCGCUGUGUGCUUACUGUCUGCUCUUGUUUCUGACUCUGAAGAAUUAUCUGUGCACAUCCUAUAAUGUUGAACUAAAAACAAGGAAUAAUAAGGCCUAUAUUUCAAUGUUCCAAGCUAAAAUGGGGGUCUAGUUAGAUUUACAAUUCAUUUUUUUCUCCUAUAGUACCCCUCUCCCCUCCCAUAAGUGCUAGUUUGUUCCCUUUAUAUGCUUUUUUAUUUACUAGUUUGUGGUAUUUUUUUAGAGUCCACAUAUAAACGAUAUCACAGAGUAUUUGUCUCUGCCUGACAUAUUAUACUUAGAAUAAUGCCCUCCAAUUCCAUCCAUGUUGAUACAGAUGCCAAAAUUUCAUUUUCAUGGCUGAACAGUAUUCUACUGUGUGUGUGUGGGGGGAGGGUGUAUACACACAAAUAUUCCUUAUCCACUAAUCUGCUGAUGGACACUUGGGUUGCUUCCAAAGCUUGGCAAUUGUAAAGAAAGCUGCUAUGAACACUAGGCAUGUAUCUUUUUGAGUUAGUGUUUUUUGGUUUUUUCAAAUAUAUACCCAGAAGUAGAAUUACUGGGUCAGAUAGUAGUUUUUAGUUUCUGAGCAACCACUGUACUGUAUUCCACUGUGACCACACCAGUUCACAUUCCCACCAGCAGAGUUUCAGGAUGACAUUAUUUCUUUGUAGCUGAGUAAUAUUCCAUUGUAUUCUUGUACCAUAUCUUCUUUAUCCAUUCCUCUGUUGCUGGACAUUUAAGUUCUUCCAUAUCUUGGCUAUUCUAAAUAGUAUGCAAUGAACAGUCUUUUCAAGACUGCGGGAUCAUAUGGUCAUUCUAAUUUUGGUUUUGUGAGGAACCUCCAUACCGGCUAUACCAGUCCUUUUUCUCCACACUCUCUCCAGCAUUUGUAAUUUGUAGACUUCUUGGUGUCGGCCAUUCAUCUCACACAUUGAGUGGUAUGAGAUGAUACCUCAUUGUUAUUUUGAUUUUCAUUUCUUUUAUAAUUGGAAAAGUUGAGCACCUUUUCAUGUGCCUUUUGGUCUGUCUUCUUUGGAGAAAAGUCUGUUUAGAUCUUCUGUCCAUUCAUUGAUGAGGUGGUUUGGUGUUUUGAUAUUGAGCUAUACGAGCUGUUUGUAUGUUUUGGCAAUAAAUCCCUUGUUGGUUGCAUCAUUUGCAGAUAUUUUCUCCCAUUCUAUAGGUUGUAUUUUUGCUUAGUUUAUGGUUUCCUUUGCUGUGCAAAAGACUUUAAUUAAGUUCCAUUCAUUUACAUUUGUAUUUAUUUUUGGUACUCCAGGAGAUGGAUCAAAAAAGAUAUUGCUGCAAUUUAUGUCAAAGACUGUUAUACUUACGUUUUCUAGGAGUUUUAUAUUAUCCAGUCUUAUAUUUAGUUCUGUAAUCUAUUUUGAGCUUAUUUCUGUGGGCAGUGAUAAUGUUCUAAUUUCAACCUUUUACAUGUAGCUAUACAGUUUAUCUAGCAACACAUCUUGAAGAGAUGAUCUUUUCUCCAUUGUAUAUUCCUGCCUCCUUUGUCAUGUAUUAAUUGACUAUAGGUGUGUGUGUUUAUUUCUGGGUUUUCUUUCAUGUUCCAUUGAUCUAUAUUUCUGGUUUUAUGCUAGUAGCAUACUGCUUUCAUGAUUGUAGCUUUGUAGUAUAGUCUGAAGCCAGGGAGCCUGAUUCUGCCUAUGCUGCAUUUCUUCUCAAGAUUUUUCUCACAAUUUGGGGUCUUUUGUGUUUUCAUAUAAUUUUCUUUUUGUUAUGGUUCUGUGAAAAAUGCCAUGGGUAAUGUGAUAAGGAUUGCAUUCAAUGUAUAGAUCGCCUUGGGUGGUAUAGCCAUUUUGACAAUAUUUCUUUCAUAAGUGUCUUAAUAGUUUUCAAAGUACAGAUAUUUUCCCUCCUUAGAUAGGUUUAUUCCUAUUAUAUUCUUUUUGAUAUGAUGUUAAAUGCAAUGUUUCUUUAAUUUCUCUUCAUCUUUCAUGUUAAUGUAUAGAAGUGCAAUAGAUUAUGUAUUAAUUUUGUAUACUGUGACUUUAUAAAAUUCAUUGAUGAGCUCUAGUAGUUGCUGGUACCAUCUCUAGGAUUUUCUAUAUAUAGCAUCAUUUCAUCUGGAAAUAGUGCCAGUUUUACUUUCUUUUCCCCAUUUAGAUUCCUUUUAUUUCUGUCUGCUCUGAUUCCUAUAGGUAGGACUUCCAGAAGUAUAUUGAAUAAAAGUGGUCAGAGUGGACAUCCUUGUCUUUCCUGAUCUUAGGCGAAAUGCUUUUUCAGCUUUUUACCACUAAGUAUGAUGUUAUAUGUAGGGUUUUCACAUAUGGUCUUUAUUAUGUUGAGGUAGGUUCUAUCUAUGCCCAUUUUCUGGAGAGAUUUUUUUAUCAUAAAUCAGUGUUGAAUUUUAUCCAAAGGUUUUUCUCAAUCUAUUGAGAUGAUUGUAUUGUUGGUGUGUCACCAAAAGAGAGUUUCUAUAAUACUUAGGCUAAAAUAGAUGUAUCUAUUCAUUUAGAUUCUAAUUCUCUUGUGGAGAAAGUGCUAUGAAAUAAAGAGGAAAAGAUGAAUAAAUUGAAUUGAAUAAGAAAAAAAUAACAUAGAAAAAAUUCUAAUUUUCAGAAAUAAAACACACAUAAAAUACAAAAUUAUACAAUAAUGACCAAUAGUUAGGGCUAAUUUGGUAGAACUGAUGUGAUAAUCCCUGUGCAGAAAAAUUUUAUUGACAAUUAUUUGAGUGUUUAAAAUACUUUUGUUCUGAACUAAUUUUUUGAAAAGGAGAUUUCAUAAUUCUUAAGGAAAUAUUGGUUUCAGGAAACAAACUGUAAUACUGAUGCUAUUGUCUGUUUUCAAGUUUUCACAAAAGAUAAGCCAUUUUUUUAGAUUACUUAGUUAAGAUACAUUUAGCUUCAUUGAUUAUAAAAGGUAAAAUAUUUAAGAGAAAGUUAAAUUAGCAAAUUUGUAAUUAUUUCCUGAGUAAAUUAAUUCUGAUAUGCAAAACAUGGUAAUUUUAUGAGCAAGAUGAGUUAUGCAUAGUACAAUUUGAAUAAUCCUUAGCAAAUCCUAGCUAGCUGAAUUAUGUAUUAUUAAAAUUUAUACUCCUAGAUAGCUUUUAGGUCUAUAAUAGUAAAUGAAUAUAAAACUAACCUACUCAAAAUUUAAUUGGUUUUUAUUUGUCCAUAUUCUACCUGAACACUUUAAAUUUUCAUGCCUUUGCAUUUUCUCCUAAUUCUUCAAUUUUGCUGUAGUGGUGUGUUGGAGCAUAAAAUGGCUUGCACUUUGUGUAUGACUCAUUCCUUUUACUCUCAAGGAGCACCCUUUGAUUCUCCUUGGACAAAUAUACAACCACACCUAACUUUUUAGAGUGUAUUUCCUUAAAUUUUGUGAAUAUUCACUUAUUUCAUAUGGAGAAAACCAAAUGUGAAAAAUUAAAGUAAUAAUUUAUUAUUCUGGAGACCAUUUAUUCAGGAAUUCACAGUCUAGAGGAAAGUCAUUCUAAUAAGAAUCAUUUCUACCCUGCAUUUUAAUGUACAAAAAAAAAGUAUGGUGUUAGAGGCUGUGGCUGAUGGAAGGGAUAAAUAGCCCAGUACCACUUAACGCAAAUUCAGAAAUGCAAGCUCUCAGGAGUUCCCGUCGUAGUUCAGUGGUUAGUGAAUCUGACUAGGAGCCAUGAUGUUUCGGGUUCCNGCAGAUGCAGCUUGGAUCAGGAGUUGCUGUGGCUCUGGCGUAGGCCAGCAGCUACAGCUCUGAUUUGACCCCUAGCCUGGGAACCACGGGAGCAGCCCUAGAAAUGGCAAAAAGACAAAAAGACCAAAAAAAUAAAAUAAAAUAAAAAGGAAAUGCGAGUUGUCUAAGAAACAGUACAAAUUUUUCAAACUAAGAAAACCAGAAAAUUUUUUAUAGACCACUAUUCUUGUUUUAUUUGUUUUUAUUUAUUUUUUUAAUUGUUAUUUUCCCAAUAUAAUUUUUUUCUACUGUGCAGCAUGGUGACCCAGUUACACAUACAUGUACACAUUCUAUUUUCUCACAUGAUUAGGCUCCAUCAUAAGUGACUAGACAUAGUUCCCAGUGCUACACAGUACGAUCUCAUUGCUUGUCCAUUCCAAAAGCAAUAGUUUGCAUCUAUUAACCCCAAGCUCCCAAUCCAUCCCACUCCCUCCUCCACCCCCUUGGCAACUACAUGUAUAUUCUCUAAGUCCAUGAUUUUCUUUUCUGUAAAAAGGUUCCUUUAUGUUAUAUAUUAGAUUCCAGAUACGUGCUAUCAUACGGUAUUUCUUUCUCUUUCUGACUCACUUCACUCAGUAUGAGAGACUCUAGUUCCAUCCAUGUGGCUGCAAAUGGCAUUAUGUCAUUCUUUUUUAUGGCUGAGUAGUACUCCAUUGUGUAUAUAUAUCACAUCUUCCUAACCCAAUCAUCUGUCAAUGGACAUUUGGGUUGUUUCCAUGUCUUGGCUACUGUGAAUAGUGCUGCAAUGAACAUGCGGGCGCAUGUGUCUUUUUCAAGGAAAGUUUUGUCCGGAUAUGUGCCCAAAAGUGGUGUUGCUGGGUCAUAUGGUAAUUCUAUGUAUAGUUUUCUAGAGUAGAAAAAAUGCUCACCAUCCCUGAUUAUUAAAGAAAUGCAAAUCAAAACUACCAUGAGAUACGACCUCACACCAGUCAGAAUGGCCAUCAUAAAUAACAAAUGCUGGAGGGGGUGUGGAAUGUUGGUGGGAAUUAAGCUGGUACAACCACUAUGGAGAAUGGUGUGGAGGUACCUUAGAAAACUAUACAUAGAAUUACCAUAUAACCCAGCAAAUUUUAAAAUUAAAAAAAAAAACCCUCUUAAUAGGGAAGGAAAUGAGCGUAGGACUAUAGUAAAUGUGGAUAAAUAAGGAAAUAAAAUCAAACAUGGGCUUGUCCAGGACCAAGCAUGAAAUUUUCAGUAAAUUAAAUCAGUUUCCUCUAUCAGAAGUCAGAAAAUUAAAUACUUGUUUCUAUUUCAGUUGAAUUUAUUUCAGCACUAUUGCAUGAUUAUUAUCAUGGAUGCCCAAUUUCUAUGAGUUAGCACUUGCUGAAUUUCUACUUGUGCACUUCAUUUUGCCUGUAACUUAGCAGGAUAAGCAGUCCUUUCUAUUAUAAAAAUAUUAUGCAUAUUAUUAUUUUAUUGUUGCAUUAUCUUGAAAAUUCAGUAGCUCAAAUGGUCCUUUUAAACAAAAGUAAACUUCAAAUAAAUGCAACUUAAACUAUAUUCUAUAAUUUGGUAGGAAGGAGAAGCAUAUUUUAAUGUUUAUACUGAAAAUGAAAAAUUUAUUUGAACACUAUAUGAUAUUAUAACCAUAUGCACAUUUAAUGAAAAUUUAAUGAAGACUAAUUUACAAAAAAACAGUCUCCCUUGCUUUUACAACGUGGAAGCAUUUAUAGAACCAUAUAGAAUUGUUGUGGUUCAACUUCAAACCCAAUUGUGUAUAGUAAUCCCGUAAUAUUUAUCCCUUUCUUUUAGUAUGAAUUCUCAUGAAACACAGUACAACUAAGACUGAAAAGCCAAUAGCACAAAUAUAUGUCAGAGAUCCAGUAAAAGGCUACCUGACCUGCUUGUGAUGACUGCUUAUUCAAUAUCAUCAACAGAAUAGACAACAGUUAAAUGAAAAUGUUUCUCCUCUACUUUAGGAAAGUAUAAUCUUGAUAAAAGUCAGAUCCCUAAAAAAGCCAAAUGCAUAUGCUCUUUGUGCUUAGCCCCAUAUUAAAAUGAUUUUAAUAAAUUACAACAUAUGAUGUUGACUUUAUAUAAUUAAACAAUUGGUGGGUUAAAAACAAGUCUAAACACUUUUUAAAAACUUUAUGAUGAUAAUCUUAUUGCAUUGAAUACUUACUUUAGAAGUUACUGGAUUUUGGGAGUUCCCAUUGUGGCUCCGUGGUUAAUGAAUCCAACUAGGAACCAUGAGGUUGUGGGUUUGAUCCCAGGCCUUGCUCAGUGGGUUAAGGAUCCGGCGUUGCCCUGAGCUAUGGUGUAGGUUGCAGAUGCAGCUCAGAUCCCACAUUGCUGUGGCUCUGGUGUAGACUGGAGGCUGCAGCUCUGAUUAGGCCCCCCUGGGAACCUCCAUAUGAUGCCAGAGUGGCCCUAGAAAAGG
rnacentral:lncRNA from 1 species